AUCAAUAAAAACUAUUUUAAAUUAAAUAGUCGUUUAAUUUAUAGACUGAAAAUAUUUUUAAAUUUAUUUUCUACCCAAAAGGACUACUUUAAAAAUUUUAAAAAGUUGCAGGGAUCAAAUCAUAAUUUAGCUUCAUCUUCUUUCUAGUCAGAUGCCCUAGCUGCUGCCCACCUUUAUCCUCGCAGCCAGCCGCAGUCCUUCAACUCCUGCUACUGCUCGUCGACUUGCAGAUCGCACAAUGGUUGUGCGACUCCGGCCCUCCCUGCGAGCGUCGGCUAGCUCCACCAUCGCCAGAAUGCGAGGAGAAAAAUCCAGACUCAUUCGGUCAUCGCCAUCAAGCUCCAUCAGAUCACUCGAUGACUAGCCAGCAGCUCAUGCCACCAGCACGAGAGGACAGAGGCGCAACAUUUGUGCUCAUCGACCAACUUACUCCCACAGCGGCAGCCUCGAGAUUGACGACAUUGCGAAGGAUUGCGCAAUCUCCUGGAGUCGCACAUCAGCCUUCUCCCGCAACUUUGAAGCAGCUCGGUCCUGAUAUGGAACAGUUAGACUCCUAUUAGGAUUAAGAUUAUUUUUGCAUAUUAGGAUUUUAUUUCUAUUAUAAAUAGCCUCCCUUGGCUAUUAGGAUUUUAGACUCCUAUUAGGAUUAGGAUUAUUUUUGCAUAUUAGGAUUUUAUUUCUAUUAUAAAUAGCCUCCCUUGGCUAUUAGGAUUUUAGACUCCUAUUAGGAUUAGGAUUAUUUUUGCAUAUUAGGAUUUUAUUUCUAUUAUAAAUAGCCUCCCUUGGCUAUUAGUAACUCACUUUCCAAUUUUUAAGAAAUUUCAAUAAGACUUUUCGUCUUUUAGCCUAUCUUUUCUCUUAUUUCGUCUUAACCAAACGAUAUUGGUUGAAACUCCUGACGGAGUCUAAAUAGUCCUGUAUCAGAUUGGUAUCAGAGUGAAGUUCGACCAUGGUAGAUAACCAAGAGGCGCGACUUGCUGCGAUUGAGGCAUCCUUGGCAGAAUUGAGGGAGAUGAUCGGACAGCUGACCCUGCAGCAGGGAAUCCACCAACCCGCCGCCGCCACACAUCCCCAUGUGGCUGCCAAUCCUGUGGCCGCCAUUCCUGUGGCCGCCAAUCCUAUGGUCGUUAAUCCUAUGCCUGCAAAUCCCCAACAGAACUAUCAGGAAGGUUACAGGAUCAAGGUAGACCUUCAAAACUUUUCUGGUUCAUUAGAUGUUGAAUCUGUUCUUGAUUGGCUGGUAGAGGUUGAACGCUUCUUUGAAAUUAUGAACGUGGAAGAGGAACGCAAGGUUCCAAUUAUGGCCUAUAAGUUGAAAGGGGGUGCAACAGCCUGGUGGAAUUCGAUUCAAAACGAACGCUAUCGGAAAAGGCUGGAGCCCAUACGAAACUGGGUGCUGAUGAAGCAGAUGUUUGAACAACGGUUCUUGCCUAGCGAUCACGCUCAAGUUUUAUAUAACCGGUAUCAUGACUGUGUACAAGGGAACCGAAGGGUGGAUGAGUAUACCGAGGAGUUUCUAAGGCUGCAGGCGAGAUGUGAAAUCUGUGAGAACGAGGCCCAACAGGUUGCUCAUUAUCAGAGGGGGCUGAAUCACGAAAUUCGUUGUAUGAUGGGAGUAGCUGCGAUUUUCACCUUGGCAGACGCUAUUGAGAUGGCAAAAAGGGCAGAAGAGCGUGUUGAUUGGCAGCCACGAUAGCAGCAGUACAACCGGAAUUUCAAUUACAGAAACUCUAGUUCAACAGGGACGCAGCAAUAUAGAGGCAACUACAGCGGACAGCCUUCUAAGGUUGUAAAUUCUGGCAACCCUCCAAAUACCAUGGAAGAAAGGAGAGACAGUAAGGGCAAGGCAGUCACCACUACAACAGACAAAGGAGGCAAGACCAAUCCUUACUAGAAGCCAACGGGAGACAUCUGUUACCGGUGCAGGCAAUCUGGUCAUCGAUCAAAUAAUUGUCCAGAACGUAGAGGAGUUAAUGCUGACCGCCGACAGGUUAAUAUAGUUGAGCAGGUGGCUGACACUGACGAGGAAGUGGAUGACGAUGACGGAUCUAUUGCUGGUUCUGAAGAUGGAGAGGUCACCUAUGUGGUGAAGAAGAUCUUAUGCUCAACAAAACAGGAGGACGAGACACAAAGGAGGAAGAUUUUCCAGGCAAAGUGUCGAGUAGGAGAGGCAAUUUGCAGGCUAAUUAUAGAUAGUUGCAGUUGUGAGAAUCUGAUAGCUAAGCAGUUAGUGGAAAAAUUACAGUUGCCUACACAGCCUCACCCCUCACCAUACAAAGUCGGAUGGAUUAAGGAAGGACCGACAAUUGAGGUCAACAGAAUCUACAGCGUGCCUAUCUCGAUCGGUAAAUCUUAUACUGAACCUGUUAAUUGUGAUGUUGUGGAUAUGGAUUGCUGUGGAAUUUUGCUAGGUCGCCCUUGGCAAUUCGACGUUGAUGCUUUGCAUAAAGGGAAGGAGAAUUCAUACAUGUUCACGUGGAAUCAAAAGAAGAUUACUAUCUUGCCUUCCGGUUCUGCGAAACAUUCUAAGGUGGAAGGGAAGCAUACUGUUGCUGUUUCUAUGGGAGUGCAGAAGCUAUCAGGCGCAGUUGAGAAAUCUGGAGGCACACUAGCUUUAUUGGUGAGAGCAAAAGGUACAAUGGAGGAUGCACCAUCUUUACCACCGCCCGUCAAAGAGUUGUUAAAGGAGUUUCCUAAGAUAGUGGAGGAAUCAUCAAAGCUUCCACCCCUGCGCGAUAUCCAACAUUAGAUUGAUCUCAUUCCUGGAUCAAAAUUACCGAAUCUGCCUCAUUACAAGAUGAGUCCAAAGGAGAGUGAAAUCCUCUAAGAACAGGUGGAAGAAUUACUAAAGAAGUGGCAUAUUCGGGAGAGCAUUAGCCCCUGCGGAGUACCUGCCCUAUUAGUUCCAAAGAAAGAUGGGACUUGGAGAAUGUGCGUGGAUUGCAGGGCCAUCAACAAAAUUACAAUUCAAUAUCGAUUUCCUAUCCCACGAUUGGAUGACAUGCUAGAUCAGCUAUCCGGGGCUAAAGUCUUUUCUAAAAUCGACCUCAAAAGUGGCUAUCACCAAGUUCGGAUCAAGGAGGGAGAUGAAUGAAAGACAGCCUUUAAGACUAAGGAAGGCUUGUAUGAGUGGCUGAUUAUGCCCUUUGGUUUAACAAAUGCACCUAGCACUUUUAUGCGACUCAUGAACCAGAUUUUGCGUCCUUUCUUACGCAAAUUUGUGGUUGUUUAUUUUGAUGACAUUUUGAUAUUUAGUCGCAGUGAGGAAGAACAUCUUCAGCAUCUCCGUCAAGUCAUGACGGCCCUACAAGAAAGUGAGUUGAUUAUUAAUCUUAAGAAGUGCAUCUAUAUGACGGAGCGCGUUCUGUUCCUAGGAUUCGUUGUUAGUGCAGAAGGGAUACAUGUUGAUGAGACGAAGGUAGAAGCAAUACGGAAUUGGCCCAUCCCCAAAACUAUUUCUGAAGUUUGCAGCUUUCAUGGCCUUGCCACUUUCUACUGACGGUUUAUCAGAAAUUUCAGCAGCAUCGUUGCCCCUAUCACAGAUUGCUUGAAGAAAGAGAGAGUGCAGAAAUUUGCAUGGACUGAAGCUGCCAACAAGAGCUUUGAAGAGAUUAAAGAUAAGCUUACUUCUGCCCCUAUUCUUGCUCUACCUGAUUUUGAUAAACUGUUUGAGAUUGAAUGUGAUGCUUGUGGAGUUGGGAUUGGAGGAGUAUUGUCAUAGUCUAAAAGGCCUAUUGCCUUCUUUAGUGAGAAACUGAAUGAAGCUAGAAAGAAGUGGUCUACUUAUGAGCAGGAACUAUAUGCAGUAUUCCGGGCUUUUAAAACUUGGGAGCAGUAUUUGAUGGGACAAGAAUUUAUUAUUCACACAGAUCAUCAGUCUCUGAUCCAUUUUAAAACUCAAAAACAUGUGAAUAAGAUGCAUGCCCGAUGGGCAGCUUACUUUGGAGCCUUUCAUUAUGUCAUCAAACAUAAGGCUGGCCAUAGUAAUAAGGUGGCAGAUGCUUUGAGUAGGAGGGCUACUUUGUUGAUUACAGUUAAUCAGGAGGUUGUAGGUUUUGAAUUCCUGAAGGAUUUGUAUGCUACAGAUGAUGAUUUUGCUGAUAUAUGGGCUAGAGUCCAGACUUACCAGCCUACUGAUGGGUUCUUGAUACAUGAUGACUUUCUUUUUAAGGAGAACAGGUUAUGCAUCCCUCGAUCUUCCUUGCGGGAGAAGUUGAUUCGCGAGACCCAUGGAGGAGGUUUGAGUGGUCAUUUGGGGCAUAACAAGACUAUUGUUGGGUUGGAGGAACGUUUUUACUGGCCUCAAUUAAAAAAGGAUACAGGUCGAAUGGUUCAGAAGUGCCCAGUGUGUCAAACUCAGAAGGGACAUUCGCAGAAUACAGGCUUAUACACUCCACUGCCUAUUCCAGCCCAUCCUUGGGAGGACUUGUCUAUGGAUUUUGUUCUUGGUCUUCCAUGUACUCAACGUGGAUCUGAUUCCAUUUUUGUUGUUGUUGACAGGUUCUCUAAAAUGGCGCAUUUUAUUCCCUGCAAGAAAACUAAUGAUGCUUCCCAUGUAGCAAAACUGUUUUUUCAGGAGAUUGUUUGCUUACAUGGUGUCCCCAAAACCAUUACUUCUGACAGAGAUGUGAAGUUUCUAGCUCACUUCUGGGUGACUUUAUGGAAACGCUUCGGGACUGAACUUCGAUACAGCAGUGCUGCUCACCCCCAAACUGAUGGACAAACUGAAGUGGUAAACCGCACGCUUGGCAGUCUUCUAUGCUGCAUCUGCAGUAACAAGAAAACUGCUUGGUAUCUUGCUCUUGCCCAAGCAGAAUUUGCUUACAACAGUGCGAUUCACAGCUCCACAAAGAUGUCACCAUUUGCUGUUGUGUACAGGAAAGUCCCAGCGCAUACAGUUGAUCUUAUCGCAUUUCCCACAGGUUAUCACAACCGUCUUGCAGCAAGCAACCUAGCAAAGCAGCACGUGGAUAUUUUCAAGCAAGUACAACAAUGCCUUAUGGAAGCCAAUGAUAAAUAUAAAGCUACAGUUGAUAAACAUAGGCGUUUCAAAUCCUUCAAUGUCGGUGAUCAAGUUAUGGUGUAUUUACGCAAGGAGCGUGGUGGAGGACAGAAAAAGCUUGACGCCAAGAAGAUUGGUCCAUUCCGGAUCAUUCAGAAGAUUAAUGACAAUGCCUAUGUUCUUGACCUUCCACAUGAGAUGAAAAUUUCCAAGGCGUUUAACGUGGCGGAUCUAUUUCAGUACUAUCCUGCUGAAGACAACUCGAGGUCGAGUUCUUUACAAGUGGAAGGGAAUGAUAUGGAACAGUUAGACUCCUAUUAGGAUUAGGAUUAUUUUUGCAUAUUAGGAUUUUAUUUCUAUUGUAAAUAGCCUCCCUUGGCUAUUAGGAGACUCCUAUUAGAAUUAGGAUUAUUUUUGCAUAUUAGGAUUUUAUUUCUAUUGUAAAUAGCCUCCCUUGGCUAUUAGGAUUUUAGACUCCUAUUAGGAUUAGGAUUAUUUUUGCAUAUUAGGAUUUUAUUUCUAUUAUAAAUAGCCUCCCUUGACUAUUAGGAACUCACUUUCCAAUUUUUAAGAAAUUUCAAUAAGACUUUUCGUUUUUUAGCCUAUCUUUUCUCUUAUUUCGUCUUAACCAAACGAUAUUGGUUGAAACUCCUGACGGAGUCUAAAUAGUCCUGUAUCAGGUCCUCACCGAUGAAGGGAGCAGCUGCCCGUGAUGCCGCUUCUUUCUGCACGUCGGCGACAGAUGGCGCCGGUGAGAGGAGCGCAUCAUAAGAAGGAGCAUCGCAUGCCUCCCACGUCCUCUAUCGGGCGUGGCCAUUCAUUGGUCAUGCGUCUCUGUUCAUCGUGAUUCCAAAUUUCAAAAUAUUUUUUUUCAUAAUAAACAAUUAAAAU
rnacentral:lncRNA from 1 species